rnacentral:rRNA from 1 species
CAUGUCUAAGUAUAAGCAACUAUACGGUGAAACUGCGAAUGGCUCAUUAAAUCAGUUAUCGUUUAUUUGAUAGUACCUUACUACAUGGAUAACCGUGGUAAUUCUAGAGCUAAUACAUGCUAAAAACCUCGACUUCGGAAGGGGUGUAUUUAUUAGAUAAAAAACCAAUGCCCUUCGGGGCUCCUUGGUGAAUCAUAAUAACUUAACGAAUCGCAUGGCCUUGCGCCGGCGAUGGUUCAUUCAAAUUUCUGCCCUAUCAACUUUCGAUGGUAGGAUAGUGGCCUACCAUGGUAUCAACGGGUAACGGGGAAUUAGGGUUCGACUCCGGAGAGGGAGCCUGAGAAACGGCUACCACAUCCAAGGAAGGCAGCAGGCGCGCAAAUUACCCAAUCCCGACACGGGGAGGUAGUGACAAUAAAUACUGAUACAGGGCUCUUUUGGGUCUUGUAAUUGGAAUGAGUACAAUUUAAAUCCCUUAACGAGGAACAAUUGGAGGGCAAGUCUGGUGCCAGCAGCCGCGGUAAUUCCAGCUCCAAUAGCGUAUAUUAAAGUUGUUGCAGUUAAAAAGCUCGUAGUUGAACCUUGGGCCUGGCUGGCCGGUCCGCCUCACCGCGUGUACUGGUCCGGCCGGGCCUUUCCUUCUGGGGAACCUCAUGCCCUUCACUGGGCGUGCUGGGGAACCAGGACUUUUACUUUGAAAAAAUUAGAGUGUUCAAAGCAGGCCUUUGCUCGAAUACAUUAGCAUGGAAUAAUAGAAUAGGACGUGUGGUUCUAUUUUGUUGGUUUCUAGGACCGCCGUAAUGAUUAAUAGGGAUAGUCGGGGGCAUCAGUAUUCAAGCGUCAGAGGUGAAAUUCUUGGAUUGCUUGAAGACUAACUACUGCGAAAGCAUUUGCCAAGGAUGUUUUCAUUAAUCAGUGAACGAAAGUUAGGGGAUCGAAGACGAUCAGAUACCGUCGUAGUCUUAACCAUAAACUAUGCCGACUAGGGAUCGGGCGGUGUUAGUAUUUUGACCCGCUCGGCACCUUACGAGAAAUCAAAGUUUUUGGGUUCUGGGGGGAGNNUNNNCG